UGUACAUAAAUGGAGUAUNUGCAGGUUAUGAACUGUUGACUUUGUAUUGUAUCCUUGCAUGCCAAAACAGGUGUGAAAGCAUCCUCUAAGGUCCCUUUUAUAAGGGUACUAAUUCCAUUCCUACAUGCUCUAUACUCAUAACAUUAUUAUCUCUCAAAGCUACCUUCCCUCCUAAUUCUAUAACAUGUAGAGUUAGGAUUUCAACAGCUGUAUAGCCAGUAAAUAGUACAAUGAGAAUUCAAAUCUAGACAUACAAACUCCAGAGAAAUUGCUUUCUUGUUUUUUGCCUUUUGUUCUACUUUGAAAUCUAUUUAAAUUUUUUAAAAGUCUAUAAAGAUGUAUAUACACAAUUGAAAAUAAAUAAUAGAAAAAUGAUCACCCAUGUGUCUGGUUAUCAGAUUCUAAUGAAGACCCUAGAAAUCCCUGUUUGCUUCCCUCAUAACGUCUUUCAUCCCUAUGAAAAACAUCUCAUAUGCUAAAUUUUUAAAUUAUUUAUUCUACACAGUUGUAACAGAUAUCCAUAAGUUCUGAAAUAAUAGACUGUUCAGUUGUCUAUGCAAUUUAUAUAAGUAUGUUCAUAUAAAUUGGAUCAUCUGUGGGCUUGCUUCAAUCAUUGUGGUAUUGAACUUCAAUCAUUGUGGUAUUGAAUUCAUUCAUGUUCAUGCUUUUUAUUCACUUAUAUUGCUCUGUAGUAUCCCACUGUAUAAAUACAUGUUUGCCUUUUAAUUCAUUAAACUGUUGA
rnacentral:lncRNA from 1 species